AUUGAACGCUGGCGGAAUGCUUUACACAUGCAAGUCGAACGGCAGCACGGACUUCGGUCUGGUGGCGAGUGGCGAACGGGUGAGUAAUACAUCGGAACGUGCCCAAUCGUGGGGGAUAACGUAGCGAAAGCUACGCCAAUACCGCAUACGAUCUAAGGAUGAAGGCGGGGGAUCGCAAGACCUCGCGCGAUUGGAGCGGCCGAUGGCAGAUUAGGUAGUUGGUAGGGUAAAGGCCUACCAAGCCGACGAUCUGUAGCUGGUCUGAGAGGAUGAUCAGCCACACUGGGACUGAGACACGGCCCAGACUCCUACGGGAGGCAGCAGUGGGGAAUUUUGGACAAUGGACGCAAGUCUGAUCCAGCCAUUCCGCGUGCAGGAUGAAGGCCCUCGGGUUGUAAACUGCUUUUGUACAGAACGAAAAGGCUCUGGUUAAUACCUAGGGCUCAUGACGGUACUGUAAGAAUAAGCACCGGCUAACUACGUGCCAGCAGCCGCAGUAA
rnacentral:rRNA from 1 species